rnacentral:lncRNA from 1 species
UAAUCAACAAAUUAGAGCUGUGCACAUAGUGAAAGUGACAGAGGGAAGCAGGCAGUGCUGCAAUGUACACACCAAGGUUAUGCUCUGACAAGUGGCACCAGCCAGGACUCCCAUCAAUCAGAUUUACAUGCGUAAAGUAGAAAAUAAGAAGAGAAGAUGUUUAAACAUCCCUGAAAUAAUCCAAGGAUGCCCUGAAAUUUCCGAGCACAAGUGGGUUUGGGCUAGAAAGGAGGAGAAAAGGAAGGAAAACCACUGCAGGAGGAAUCUUUGCAAGCUAUGCCAGUGUUGUUCAGUUGUGGUGGAAUAACCCUUUGUAGCACCAGGAUCCUCAUAAAUGCCAAUCAGAUGUUUAAAGAGACUCAGCAAAGAAAUAAAUCAUGGAAGAGGGAAGAAUGGGGAAAGUGA